ACUGGGACUGAGACACGGCCCAGACUCCUACGGGAGGCAGCAGUAGGGAAUUUUCGGCAAUGGGCGAAAGCCUGACCGAGCAAUGCCGCGUGAAUGAAGAAAUUCUUCGGAAUGUAAAAUUCUGUGGUGAGGGAAGAAAGGUAUUAGAAGGAAAUGGCUAAUAUUUGACGGUACCUUACUAGAAAGCCCCGGCUAACUAUGUGCCAGCAGCCGCGGUAAUACAUAGGGGGCAAGCGUUAUCCGGAAUUAUUGGGCGUAAAGCGUGCGUAGGCGGCCACUUAAGUCUGUCGUGAAAGCCCACAGCUUAACUGUGGAGGGUCGAUGGAAACUGAGAGGCUUGAAUCUAGGAGAGGUAAGUGGAAUUCCAUGUGUAGCGGUAAAAUGCUUAGAUAUAUGGAGGAACACCAGUGGCGAAGGCGGCUUACUGGUCUAGAAUUGACGCUGAUGCACGAAAGCGUGGGUAGCAAACAGGAUUAGAUACCCUGGUAGUCCACGCCGUAAACGAUGAGCACUAAGUGUCGGACGUAAGUUCGGUGCUGAAGUUAACGCAUUAAGUGCUCCGCCUGGGGAGUACGGUCGCAAGACUGAAACUCAAAGGAAUUGACGGGGACUCGCACAAGCGGUGGAGCAUGUGGUUUAAUUCGACGCAACGCGAAAAACCUUACCAGGCCUUGACAUACCGAUGACGUCUUUAGAGAUAGAGAGUUACCUUCGGGUACAUCGGAUACAGGUGGUGCAUGGUUGUCGUCAGCUCGUGUCGUGAGAUGUUGGGUUAAGUCCC
rnacentral:rRNA from 1 species